rnacentral:rRNA from 1 species
GAUGAACGCUGGCGGCGUGCCUAAUACAUGCAAGUCGAGCGAACGGACGAGAAGCUUGCUUCUCUGAUGUUAGCGGCGGACGGGUGAGUAACACGUGGAUAACCUACCUAUAAGACUGGGAUAACUUCGGGAAACCGGAGCUAAUACCGGAUAAUAUUUUGAACCGCAUGGUUCAAAAGUGAAAGGCGGUCUUGCUGUCACUUAUAGAUGGAUCCGCGCUGCAUUAGCUAGUUGGUAAGGUAACGGCUUACCAAGGCAACGAUGCAUAGCCGACCUGAGAGGGUGAUCGGCCACACUGGAACUGAGACACGGUCCAGACUCCUACGGGAGGCAGCAGUAGGGAAUCUUCCGCAAUGGGCGAAAGCCUGACGGAGCAACGCCGCGUGAGUGAUGAAGGUCUUCGGAUCGUAAAACUCUGUUAUUAGGGAAGAACAUAUGUGUAAGUAACUGUGCACAUCUUGACGGUACCUAAUCAGAAAGCCACGGCUAACUCCGUG